UUUUUUACACGAAAGAUGCAUCAUUUUGUAAUGCUCGGUGAGCUCUCGGGGGCUCCGCACACUUGCGCUGCCGAGAAUAAUUAGAAAACGUGUCUCGGGGCGAGAAGAACUGAAAUUAGUAGUCGCCGUCGUC
ensembl:ncRNA F25F8.5 ncRNA